rnacentral:tRNA from 1 species
GGGCGGCUAGCUCAAUGGUUAGAGCAUCUGGUUUACAUCCAGAAGGUUGUAGGUUCGAAUCCCACGUCGCCCACCA